rnacentral:lncRNA from 1 species
GUUCUCUCCCUACCCUCCAGAGCAGGUUACCCACCAGGCCGCCACCACCACCACUACCGUCGCCCUUCCAUCCGCUGAUGAUGAACACUGAUUGGCAUCGCCCGUCACUACCGAUCGUCUUCCAUCUGCUGCUGCUGAUCAUCGUUGAUUAAAGCGGCCGGCUGAUUCGAAACCAGGUUAGGGUUACUUAUAGGUGUUUCAUUGUUCACGCCAAUCGGAUUGUAUAGAAAGCAUUGAACCUGGUCGAUGAACAGGAAAUUAACGGUAAUGUCGUCAGAUGAACAUCGGUGCGUGAAAUUACAAUUUCGCCAUGUCACCAUUCGAACCCCGUGAAUCGUCGCCGAUGGUCUGCUGGAAGUCGGAUAACCCAUCUAGGGUUCGUCUUCACCCCUGUUGGUGCUAGAUCCGUCCGGAUCUGGUACAUGUAACACCAAUGAAGUGGUUACCGCCGGAAACCCAAGGCCACCAGAACUUCAUCGACUGUCAGAGUAGCAUACGACCAUUGAUCGCCGCUCAUUGCCGCUGCCGGAGCCAUGGCAGGGGCUUAAUCUUCGCCGGCUAGCUUUCAUUGUAGGCGAUCUUAACUUGGAAGUCAUAACAGCAGCGCGCCAGCAGAUUAUAGUCCACUGCAUAAACCACCGGAUACGGACUGCCUUGGUGGCGGCGCUAUUUCAACAUAAAACCCUAGCUGCCGCCUACUCGACGAUGCUGGUGGCUUACUGCAUAGUAUGGCAACUCAACAGUAUGCUACUGAAUUAUCAAUACUAAAGUAGGGUGAUUCAUUGUUGUGCUUAGGGUUUGGUUUUGAUUGUGGUAGUUGAUUGAGGUGGCAGUUAUGAACAGGUCCCGACGAAGCUACAAGAUUACUGAAGAUUGUUUUGAGGGUUUACAAGUUUAAGGAGUGUCAACCUUCCUACCUUCCAUUGGAACUAUUAAUGUAACAUAAGCAACCUUCUGGAUUCAAGGAUAACAAAGGAGAUGACUUUCAAAUUGAUGGUAAAAGAGAUACCAUUUUGCUUUUACAAUUGGCUUCAAUUUUAAGAUAUUUUUUAAUUUUUAAUUUGUAACACACGCCUUUGUAAAUAAAAUUAUUUUUGC